CACGUAUGGGGCGAGCGUUGUUCGGAAUUAUUGGGCGUAAAGGGCGCGCAGGCGGUGAUGCAAGUCUGGUGUGCAAGACCGGGGCUCAACUCCGGGACCGCACUGGAAACUGUAUGACUAGAGUCUAGGAGGGGAAGUUGGAAUUCCCGGUGUAGGGGUGAAAUCUGUAGAUAUCUGGAAGAACACCAGUGGCGAAGGCGAACUUCUGGCCAUAGACUGACGCUGAGGCGCGAAAGUGUGGGGAGCAAACAGG
rnacentral:rRNA from 1 species